AGUGAACGCUGGCGGUAGGCCUAACACAUGCAAGUCGAACGGCAGCACAGGAGAGCUUGCUCUCUGGGUGGCGAGUGGCGGACGGGUGAGGAAUACAUCGGAAUCUACUCUGUCGUGGGGGAUAACGUAGGGAAACUUACGCUAAUACCGCAUACGACUUACGGGUGAAAGCAGGGGACCUUCGGGCCUUGCGCGAUUGAAUGAGCCGAUGUCGGAUUAGCUAGUUGGCGGGGUAAAGGCCCACCAAGGCGACGAUCCGUAGCUGGUCUGAGAGGAUGAUCAGCCACACUGGAACUGAGACACGGUCCAGACUCCUACGGGAGGCAGCAGUGGGGAAUAUUGGACAAUGGGCGCAAGCCUGAUCCAGCCAUACCGCGUGGGUGAAGAAGGCCUUCGGGUUGUAAAGCCCUUUUGUUGGGAAAGAAACCCAGCUGGCUAAUACCCGGUUGGGAUGACGGUGCCCAAAGAAUAAGCACCGGCUAACUUCGUGCCAGCAGCCGCGGUAA
rnacentral:rRNA from 1 species